rnacentral:rRNA from 1 species
GUGGAUUAGAUACCCUGGUAGUCCACGCCCUAAACGAUGCGCGCUAGGUCUUUGGGGUUUACCUGGGGGCCGAAGCCAACGCGUUAAGCGCGCCGCCUGGGGAGUACGGCCGCAAGGCUGAAACUCAAAGGAAUUGACGGGGGCCCGCACAAGCGGUGGAGCAUGUGGUUUAAUUCGAAGCAACGCGAAGAACCUUACCAGGCCUUGACAUGCUAGGGGACCUAGGUGAAAGCCUGGGGUGCCCGCGAGGGAGCCCUAGCACAGGUGCUGCAUGGUCGUCGUCAGCU